UGUACCUUAUNGGCCUUUGUGCCUAUAAAAACUUAUACAACUUUCAGCAACGGAUCUCUUGGCUCUCGCAUCGAUGAAGAACGCAGCGAAAUGCGAUAAGUAAUGUGAAUUGCAGAAUUCAGUGAAUCAUCGAAUCUUUGAACGCACCUUGCGCUCCUUGGUAUUCCGAGGAGCAUGCCUGUUUGAGUGUCAUUAAAUUCUCAACUAUUAUCAGCUUUUGCUGAUGAUGGCUUGGAUAUGGGGGUUUAUUUUGCUGGCUUCACAGAAUGUCAGCUCCCCUUAAAUGCAUUAGCCGGUGCCCCGCGUGGACUGUCUAUUGGUGUGAUAAUUAUCUACGCCGUGGACAUCUACAAUCAUAUCGGUUUGCACUGCUUCCAACCGUCUGUUUACUCAGACAAUACAUGACAAUUGACCUCAAAUCAGU
rnacentral:rRNA from 1 species